UACGUAGGGGGCAAGCGUUGUCCGGAUUUAUUGGGCGUAAAGAGCGUGUAGGCGGCCAUACAGGUCAGCUGUGAAAACUCGAGGCUCAACCUCGAGACGUCGGUUGAAACCGUAUGGCUAGAGUCCGGAAGAGGAGAGUGGAAUUCCCGGUGUAGCGGUGAAAUGCGUAGAGAUCGGGAGGAACACCAGUGGCGAAGGCGGCCUUCUGGACCAAUACUGACGCUCAUGCACGAAAGCGUGGGGAGCAAACAGG
rnacentral:rRNA from 1 species